rnacentral:rRNA from 1 species
CAGCAGCCACGGGAAUACGUAGGGUGCAAGCGUUAAUCGGAAUUACUGGGCGUAAAGCGUGCGCAGGCGGUUGUGUAAGACAGGUGUGAAAUCCCCGGGCUUAACCUGGGAAUUGCAUUUGUGACUGCACGACUAGAGUGUGUCAGAGGGGGGUGGAAUUCCACGUGUAGCAGUGAAAUGCGUAGAUAUGUGGAGGAACACCAAUGGCGAAGGCAGCCCCCUGGGAUAACACUGACGCUCAUGCACGAAAGCGUGGGGAGCAAACAGGAUUAGAUACCCCUGUAGUCCCUGUCUCUUAUAC